CAUUACUGAGUUUACGCUCUAUAACCCUUUGUGAACAUACCUAUAACUGUUGCUUCGGCGGGUAGGGUCUCCGCGACCCUCCCGGCCUCCCGCCUCCGGGCGGGUCGGCGCCCGCCGGAGGAUAACCAAACUCUGAUUUAACGACGUUUCUUCUGAGUGGUACAAGCAAAUAAUCAAAACUUUUAACAACGGAUCUCUUGGUUCUGGCAUCGAUGAAGAACGCAGCGAAAUGCGAUAAGUAAUGUGAAUUGCAGAAUUCAGUGAAUCAUCGAAUCUUUGAACGCACAUUGCGCCCGCCAGCAUUCUGGCGGGCAUGCCUGUUCUAGCGUCAUUUCAACCCUCAAGCUCUGCUUGGUGUUGGGGCCCUACAGCUGAUGUAGGCCCUCAAAGGUAGUGGCGGACCCUCCCGGAGCCUCCUUUGCGUAGUAACUUUACGUCUCGCACUGGGAUCCGGAGGGACUCUUGCCGUAAAACCCCCCAAUUUUCCAAAGGUUGACCUCGGAUCAGGUAGGAAUACCCGCUGAACUUAAGCAUAUCAA
rnacentral:rRNA from 1 species